AAUUUUGGACAAUGGGGGAAACCCUGAUCCAGCCAUCCCGCGUGUGCGAUGAAUGCCUUCGGGUUGUAAAGCACUUCUGGCAGGGAAGAAAACGUUCUGGCCACUAAUCGGAACUGCUGACGGUACCUGCAGAUGAAGCACCGGUCAACUCCGUGCACGCAGCCGCGGUAAUACGUAGGGUGCAACCGUUAAUCGGAAUUACUGGGCGUAAAGCGUGCGCAGGCGGUUUGGAAAGAAGGAUGUGAAAUCCCGGGGCUUAACCUCGGAACUGCAUUCUUAACUGCCAGGCUAGAGUAUGUCAGAGGGGGGUAGAAUUCCACGUGUAGCAGUGAAAUGCGUAGAGAUGUGGAGGAAUACCGAUGGCGAAGGCAGCCCCCUGGGAUAAUACUGACGCUCAUGCACGAAAGCGUGGGGAGCAAACA
rnacentral:rRNA from 1 species